CCUAAUACAUGCAAGUCGAGCGGACAGAUGGGAGCUUGCUCCCUGAUGUUAGCGGCGGACGGGUGAGUAACACGUGGGUAACCUGCCUGUAAGACUGGGAUAACUCCGGGAAACCGGGGCUAAUACCGGAUGGUUGUUUGAACCGCAUGGUUCAAACAUAAAAGGUGGCUUCGGCUACCACUUACAGAUGGACCCGCGGCGCAUUAGCUAGUUGGUGAGGUAACGGCUCACCAAGGCGACGAUGCGUAGCCGACCUGAGAGGGUGAUCGGCCACACUGGGACUGAGACACGGCCCAGACUCCUACGGGAGGCAGCAGUAGGGAAUCUUCCGCAAUGGACGAAAGUCUGACGGAGCAACGCCGCGUGAGUGAUGAAGGUUUUCGGAUCGUAAAGCUCUGUUGAUAGGGAAGAACUAGUACCGUUCGAAUAGGGCGGUACCUUGACGGUACCUAACCAUAAAGCCACGG
rnacentral:rRNA from 1 species